rnacentral:rRNA from 1 species
UGGACCGCAUACGUCGACCCGGGGGAUUCAACCAGGCCGUUGGGCACGGGACGCGCGGGGGUUACGCUGAGCUGUAAAGCCAGUGCCUUCGCGUGGGUCUCCGGGCGGACUGGUGCACUUUCCUCGGGUCGAUUGCCACGACCGGCUCUCCGUGCGGCCAAAAGCCUGUCGCUGGGAAGGUGACCGACGGCCCCAGCGCCGGCGGUGUUAUAGCCCAGCUCGUUCGUUGCGCUCGUCGGAGGGCCGAGGAAGUGUUGCCGCCUCUCAUCACCCUCCGGCCAUCCUUGCUCGUCACGACUGGGGUGGACUGCUUCGUCAGUGCUCUCCCGACCGCGAGCGUAGGAAGGGUCGGUACGGUGCGAGAAGCUUCGGGCCAGUGGCGAAUCGGUCGGUCCUCCACCCGACCCGUCUUGAAACACGGAC